GGUCCAGGUAGACCCACAACACCAGACCAUUACCCAGAGAGCCCACGACAAACACCAGCAGGUACACGCUGGGGAUCAGCACCCAUGUUGGAGACCAUUCUGUGUAGUCACAUGAGGGGAAGGGAGAGGGUGAGGGGAAGGGCAGAGACCCGGACAUUUGACAGCCACACACUUGCACCUAGUGCAGAAAGCCUGUGGAGGACAUCGGCAGGACCCUCUGAGGAUAUAAGGGUGAUUAGUUUUGAAGAAAUGCUUGUUCGUAAACAGGAGGAAGCAACUUUGUCCUUUCCCAGAAUUCUUGUUUAUACUGUUUGGGAGUAAGCGGUGGCUCCUCAAUCCUCUUUGAUUUCUGUGGGGGUUUAUCUCUGUUUCUGUUAUUAAUUGUGCCCAGUUUUCUCUUCUGUGUAUUUAAAGCCUCUGUGUUUCCAGAUGAUCUUUUUAAAUGAAGGAUGUUGCUCGGUUUCCAAGAUCUUCUCUUGAUCAUUCUCGACAACUUCUCCUUGUGAUC
rnacentral:lncRNA from 1 species